GUGCACAGACUGCGGCCAUGGUUUUACAAUUGUCCCAAGCAUACAAAUGAAAUGGUUUACAAUACACAGGUAGUCCUAAAGCCUGGGCUUGCACAAUAACAACUGUAAGGGCAAUAUAUGCAGCUAGCAUGUCUGGUGACCAGCAGACAUUUUCAGGGCUGUCAGAACGUACAGCCUCCCUUAGGAUUGAGUUAUAAUGGGAGCAUUCAGGGAUCCAUUGGCGGCAGUAAUUAAUCAUGCCGAGGAAGGUGAGCAACUCCUUCCGAGUAGUGGGUGUAGGAAUCCUCUGAAUGACCUCAAUACAUUUUGGACUCAAUUGUCUGGUGCCUAAAGCCAGAACAAAACCUAAGUAUUCAACCUUUGAUUUACACAAUUGCAUUUUGUGUUUAACAACCUUGUGACCUAUAGUUGCUGACAGUAUCCACAGUGCUUGCCUCAUAGCUAGGGCUACAUAACAACAAAUCAUCAACAUUUUGCAAAAAGGACGGAACCAUGACCGGUGGUCCAUGUUUUUUUAGAGUAUGUUGGAGUACCAACGAAUAAACAGCUGGGGAAUCCACAUAGCCUUGGGUAAGCGUGUCCAGGUAAACUGACAGCCUUCAAAAAGUAAAAACCAUAAGUAGCUGUGUCUCUUGAUCAAUAGGUAUAGAAAAAAUGCAUUACUUAAAUCAAUGACAGUGAAGCAAGUGGCAUCAUGUGGAAUGGCUGUAAUGAGGGAUGUCACAUCAGGGACAAUGGGUGAAAUGGGCACAAUUAAACUAUUCAGGGCUCUAAAGUCCUGAACUAAGCGAUAUGCUGGCCAGUGGUGUUGGGAGUGGGUCUGGUGUUGUUCUUGCCUACAGGGCAUAUUUUGAGAAAGGUGGGGUUGUUGGGGUGUGUGGGGUUUCCUGGGGUGUGGACACUCAUUCCUCCAGUGGCCACAUUGAAACAAGUGUUCCUGUCUAUUCCUCCUUGGUUACCCCUGCCCCUAUAACCCUGAUUUCCUUGUCUCCAUCCCCUUGCCCCUCUUUGACCACCCCUUCCACGGGCUUUAUGUGCUCCAUCCCAUCCUCGCUCUCAGCCU